rnacentral:rRNA from 1 species
AGCUCCAUUAGCGUAUAUUAAAGUUGUUGCAGUUAAAAAGCUCGUAGUUGGAUUUCAGUACGGGCCAGUCGGUCGGCCGCAAGGCCUGCUACUGGCUGGUCUGUUCUUCUUCUCAAAGACUGCGUGUGCUCUUCGCUGAGUGUGCGUAGGAUUUGGGACGUUUACUUUGAAAAAAUUAGAGUGUUCAAGGCAGGCUCGCGCCUGAAUACAUUAGCAUGGAAUAAUGGAAAAGGACCUCGGUCCUAUUUUGUUGGUUUCUGGGGCCGAAGUAAUGAUUAAGAGGGACAGUUGGGGGCAUUCGUAUUUAAUUGUCAGAGGUGAAAUUCUCGGAUUUAUGAAAGACGAACGACUGCGAAAGCAUUUGCCAAGGAUGUUUUCAUUAAUCAAGAACGAAAGUAGG